CAUCAGGCCUGCUGCUAGACUCACCGACAGACAGUCACCGGCAACAAGCAGCAUCGACAACUCGACGACGAGGGGAAGCUUUGCGUUGGUGUGGCUGGCAAUAUGUCGUCGUCCGCGGGUAACAAGAAGACGAUGAAGACGGCGUGCGUUACUGGAGGGAGCGGGUACAUCGGCUCCGCACUCAUCAAGUUGCUGCUGGAGAAGGGCUAUGCCGUCAAGACGACGGUCAGGAACCCCGAUGACAUGGAGAAGAACUCCCACCUCAAGGACCUGCAGAAGCUUGGACCGCUAACGGUCUUCCGCGCCGACAUGGACGAAGAAGGCAGCUUCGACGACGCUGUCGCCGGCUGCGAUUACGUCUUCCUCGUCGCCGCCCCGCUGCACUUCGAGGCACAGGAUCCAGAGAAAGAGCAGAUCGAGCCGGCUAUCCAAGGAACGCUCAACACAAUGAGGUCGUGCGUGAAGGCCGGGACGGUGCGGCGUGUGAUCCUGACCUCGUCGGUGGCCGCUGUCUACUUCCGGCCGGACCUGCUAGGCGACGGACAUGGGCAUGUGCUGGACGAGGACUCCUGGUCCGACGUCGACUUCCUCAGAGCCCACAAGCCGCCAACCUGGUCACACUGCGUGUCCAAGGUGCUCCUGGAGAAGGAAGCGGGCCGGUUCGCGGAGGAGCACGGCAUUAGCCUGGUCACCAUCCUCCCCGUCAUCGUCGUUGGCGCGGCGCCGGCACCCAAGGCCCGCUCCAGCAUCGUCGACUGCCUCUCCAUGCUGUCCGGCGACGAGGCCGGGCUCGCCAUGCUCAGAGCCAUCCAGAAGACCUCCGGCGAGGUGCAGCUGGUCCACGUCGACGACCUCUGCCGCGCCGAGCUGUUCCUCGCAGAGAACGCGACGGCCAAUGGGAGGUACAUUUGCAGCAGAUACCACCCGACCCUCGUCGAGCUCGCGACUUUCCUGGCACAAAAGUACCCGCAGUACGGCGUGAAACCAACAGAUUUCGACGAUGAGGAGAGGCCGAGAGUGACCAUGUCGUUGGAGAAGCUGAUCCGGGAAGGGUUUGAGUACAAGCACAACACCCUGGAAGAGAUCUACGACAACGUGGUCGAGUACGGCAAGGCAUUAGGAAUUCUGCCCUACACGAGGUGUUUGGUGGCUGACUGGCCGGCGGCAAUGUCGUCGUCCGUGGUCGAAAAGAAGAAGAUGGCGUGCGUGACCGGCGGCAACGGGUACAUCGCCUCCGCGCUCAUCAAGAUGCUGCUGGAGAACGGGUACGCCGUCAAGACGACUGUCAGGAACCCCGAUGACAUGUCCAAGAACUCCCACCUCAAGAACUUGAAGGCGCUCGGCCAUCUGGAGGUCCUCCGCGCCGACCUGGACCAAGAAGGCAGCUUCGACGAGGCCGUCGCUGGCUGCCACUACGCCUUCCUCGUCGCCGCUCCGGUUUGAACCUCGCGUCAGAGGAUCCAGAGAAAGAUGUGAUCGAGCCUGCUGUCCGGGGAACGCUGAACGUGAUGAGGUCGUGCGCGAGAGCCAGGACGUUGCGGCGCGUGAUCCUGACCUCGUCGUCGGCCGGCGUGUACAUCAGGCCGGAGCUGCCGCAGCAGGGGGACGACGACGACGGGCACGUCGUCCUGGACGAGGACUCCUGGUCCGACGUCGAGUACCUAAGAGCCGAGAAACCGCCGCUCUGGUGGGCCUACUGCGUGUCCAAGGUGCUCCUGGAGAAGGCGGCGUGCAGGUUCGCGGAGGAGCACGGCAUCAGCCUGGUCACCAUCUGCCCCGUCGUCACCGUCGGCGAGGCGCCGGCUCCGGUCGUCAACACCAGCGUCCCCCUCUGCCUCUCGUUUCUUACCGGCAACGAGGCACUGCUCGCGGCGCUCAAAGGCAUCGAGAAGACCUCCGGCGGGGUGCAGCUGGUGCACGUCGACGACCUCUGCCGCGCCGAGCUGUUCGUCGCCGAGGAGGCGGCCGCCGCGGGGAGGUACAUCUGCUGCAGCCUCAACACGACCGUCGUCGAGAUCGCGCGUUUCCUGGCACGCAAGUACCCGCAGUACGGCGUGGAAACAAAUUUGUCCACCGACGACGACGAGCAGCUCCUGGAGAAGCCGAGAGUGAGCCUGUCGUCUGCAAAGCUGGUUGGGGAAGGGUUCGAGUUCAAGUACAAGACCCUAGACGAGAUAUACGGUGACGUCGUACGUCGAGUACGGCAAGGCACUGGGAAUUCUGCCCUACUGAUAUAGCGUGGAUAGUCUGAUGUGUAGCCCGUUUUGGGAUAGUCUAUUUUGUCAAUAUCUAUAUCUAUUCUACUUCUACAUCCAUCUAAUAUUAAAAGAAAAAAAUUAUGUCGUCUAUUUUUUUUUCA